GAUGAACGCUGGCGGCGUGCCUAAUACAUGCAAGUCGAGCGAACGGGCGAGAAGCUUGCUUCUCUGAUGUUAGCGGCGGACGGGUGAGUAACACGUGGAUAACCUACCUAUAAGACUGGGAUAACUUCGGGAAACCGGAGCUAAUACCGGAUAAUAUUUUGAACCGCAUGGUUCAAAAGUGAAAGACGGUCUUGCUGUCACUUAUAGAUUGAUCCGCGCUGCAUUAGCUAGUUGGUAAGGUAACGGCUUACCAAGGCAACGAUGCAUAGCCGACCUGAGAGGGUGAUCGGCCACACUGGAACUGAGACACGGUCAAGACUCCUACGGGAGGCAGCAGUAGGGAAUAUUCCGCAAUGGGCGAAAGCAUGACGGAGCAACGACGCGUGAGUGAUGAAGGUCUUCGGAUCGUAAAACUCUGUUAUUAGGGAAGAACAUAUGUGUAAGUAACUGUGCACAUCUUGACGGUACCUAAUAAGAAAGCCACGGCUAACUACGUG
rnacentral:rRNA from 1 species